ACGAACGCUGGCGGCGUGCCUAAUACAUGCAAGUCGAACGCAUUUUCUUUCACCGUAGCUUGCUACACCGAAAGAAAAUGAGUGGCGAACGGGUGAGUAACACGUGGGUAACCUGCCCAUCAGCGGGGGAUAACACUUGGAAACAGGUGCUAAUACCGCAUAAUUCCAUUUACCGCAUGGUAGAUGGAUGAAAGGCGCUUUUGCGUCACUGAUGGAUGGACCCGCGGUGCAUUAGCUAGUUGGUGGGGUAACGGCCUACCAAGGCUGCGAUGCAUAGCCGACCUGAGAGGGUGAUCGGCCACACUGGGACUGAGACACGGCCCAGACUCCUACGGGAGGCAGCAGUAGGGAAUCUUCGGCAAUGGACGCAAGUCUGACCGAGCAACGCCGCGUGAGUGAAGAAGGUUUUCGGAUCGUAAAACUCUGUUGUUAGAGAAGAACAAGGAUGAGAGUGGAAAGUUCAUCCCUUGACGGUAUCUAACCAGAAAGCCACGGCUAACUACGUG
rnacentral:rRNA from 1 species